UAGUCCACGCCGUAAACGAUGUUCACUCGCUGUUGGCGAUAUAUUGUCAGUGGCUAAGCGAAAGUGAUAAGUGAACCACCUGGGGAGUACGUUGGCAACAAUGAAACUCAAAGGAAUUGACGGGGGCCCGCACAAGCGGUGGAACAUGUGGUUUAAUUCGAUGAUACGCGAGGAACCUUACCUGGACUUAAAUGUAGAUUGCAUAGAGUGGAGACAUUCUUUUCUUCGGACUAUCUACAAGGUGCUGCAUGGUUGUCGUCAGCUCGUGCCGUGAGGUGUCGGGUUAAGUCCCAUAACGAGCGCAACCCCUAUCGUUAGUUGCUAACAGGUCAAGCUGAGGACUCUGACGAGACUGCCGGUGUAAACCGCGAGGGAAGGUGGGGAUGACGUCAAAUCAGCACGGCCCUUACGUCCAGGGGCUACACACGUGUUACAAUGGCCGGGUACAGAGGGGCAGCUACCUGGCAACAGAUGCGAAUCUCGAAAGCCGGGUCUCAGUUCGGGAUC
rnacentral:rRNA from 1 species